AGCGUUGGCCGGGGGCUAGGGAGCCGGGCUGUUCCACGCUCACUGUGCGCCUCGGGCGGCGGGGCUCGGGCUCUGUCCGAGGUGCUGAACUCCGGGGCUCCGGCCGCGCCGGCAGAGUGUGCCAGCGUCCAUUAUUGCCAGUGUCUGUGGGCAUCUUCCAGAAGGCCGAGCAUGGGGGUCAGGUGAAACCAGGGCGCUCCCAAGCACCUUGCCCAGUAGAGCCCCCUUGCACCCUGCUUGGUUGGUCAGCACCCCAUGGACAUGCAGCCUUGACCUUGGCAUGGGAAGCCUCCACUGUGUCAAGCCCAACAUCCAGGCCUCUGAAGACAGUCAUUCAGGCCUGCACAGUGGCAGCAGCUGUGGCCAGAGGGACACCAGUGGACACAGAGGCCCAGGGAGAGGAGCAGAGGCCAGCAGGAAACAGCAAAUGCAGAGGCCCAAAGUGACCAGGACACCGUCCUUGUGCACAUCCUGGGAGGAGCCGACGUCUAAAGAAGGGCUGAAGCCUGAAAAUCUGGCAUGACUAGAGCUCAAAGUCAUGGCUGCUUGGGGCACUGUUAGAAAUGUGCCUCCUUGUGUUCUCCCAGUGAUGUGAUAAAGGUGGCAUCUCACUGAAAAGGACCAGGGUUAGGAGGGCUCAGGAGCUAUGGGGUGGCCCAGGGACAGAGAGCUGCUCAUCAAAAUCAGUGUCAAAGCUGCAUGUGCAGCCCUGGUGCUCGGGGGGCUCUGGUGCAGGGUGUGCUGUGGCGUUCCUCGACGACGAUGUUGCUUUACUGGGGGAAGUAUCCUGGUACUGGCAGGGUCAGAAGAGGGUAGUGAGGAGUGUGGUGCUUCUGGGAGCCAUGUGAAUUGAAGUGGAAUAAUUAGCCAGGCAUGGUGGAGGGUGCCUGUAAUCCUAGCUACUCAGGAGGCUGAGGCAGGAGAAUCACUUAAACCUGCGCAGAGGCUGCAGUGAGCUGAGAUCACACCGCUGCACUCCAGCCUGAGCGACAAGAGUGAAACUCGGUCUCAAAAAAGAUAUAGAUAGAUAUAGAUAGAUACAGAUGAUAGAUAGAUAGAUAUCUGAAAGAUUCACAGAGAGUAAAUGACAGUGUCCAAACAAAAAGUGUCCUUUCCGCCCUUGCACAGUGCCGCCCCCAUUCCAAAAACUCCCUUUCCACUGACCUGCUGCCUGUGUGCAUUGUAAUCCAGCUCACUCUCUCCCACUCAGAGCUGCCAGGCAGGGCUACAAACACAGGGCACGAAGCUGCCGUCCUCCCUACCUGGCCAGUGGCAAACAUCACUAAACCCAGCCACCCUUCCCACCAAACCUGCCCGAGGCCUUGGGCUUCUUCCCAUCACAGCGGUCCACACAGCCACCGCCUGCCAGUCAGCAUUAGUUACAGCCACCUGACGCUUGUCUUCAAAUCCAAGAGAGAGGUGCAGGUCAACUGUGACCCUGGGGCCGAGGCCAAGUCAACCACACCCAUUUGUUUGGGUAUCACCUAUGCUGUGCUCAUACUGCAAAGGCCAAGUUGAGCAGUUGAGACAGAGACUGUGUGGCCCACAAAGCCUAAGAUAUUGACCACCUGGCCCUUUACAGGAAAAGCCUGCCAACCCCAGUUAGAAGCAAAGCAUGCUCAAAUUUGUAUUUUUUUUCCCAGAAUAAGAUUGUCAUUAAACUUAUAAAUAGGGUUUCUUAACCUAUUCACACAGUGAAAUGCAGACAGCCCGAGAGUUGUUAUCUAAACUAAAAAAGAAGAGAAUGGGAAAACCUAAUUAUCCUGGAUGUCACAUGCUGACUCCAGGGGUGACUAUACUUUAGUUGACUCAACCUUGGUUUGGAAACUUGCUUUCACUCCCUCCCUGGAGUCAGAAGCCUUCCCAGACAGCAUGUUCUCUGGUCUUGGUCUUCGAAGCUACGGGGAGUUGUGCCAAGGAAGCUCACCCUCCACAGGCCUAGAGCACGACGAUGCCAGGGUCAGGUGUUGCUAACAGCCCUUCCCUCUCUUCCACCUCCUCAAGCCCCCUCCCCAGGAACAGUGGAGGGAGAAUGAAAGAAGGCACAGUUUCACCUUCUCCAUCUGCCUUGGAAGCCGCAACAUCUGCCUUCCAAUUAGGAUGGAGUUACCGGGGUGACGGGGUUGGCUAGCAGGCCCCUCGGCUCCUGACUCCUCUGGGGCAGCCCCCUGCUCUAAUGAAGAGCUAAUUAACAUGAAAAGCAUUGAUUUAGCCAACUGCUGCUUGUAUAAUCACAAGGCACUCUCAGCAGCAGCUUCAAAGCUGUCUCUCCCUUCAGAACACAGGAUUCGCAUAAAGCGUGGGACUAAACCCUCCCCGUGUUUUUAAACAGUGAUUUCCCCACACUCCUGAAGUGAAAACACCAGCUCUGUAAGUCGACCACGUAGGCGCCCCUCUCGCUGCCUUCAAGGGGAACUCUGGUGGGUUUGGUAAAUGUUAGUACUUGCCCGUGUGACCCAGAGAUUGGGUUAGGAAUCAGGUUCCAUCUUCUCUCCUGGCUCACAAACGUGUGUGUUGCCAAGAACUAGUAGGAGGCCAUGGCUGUGCUCUAGCUGUCUCAACAGAGAAGUAGCUUAAACCCUUACAGUGAGGGGUGGGGUGCCUUAACUAUAAGGAACAAAGGCAUGAGAGGCCUCUAAGACAACAUCUGCAUGGAUUUGUUUGACUCCCUCAUCCCAAAUGAUGAUCAUUCAUCUCCCUGAUCAUCCAUGUGGGAAAGUUUGAGGCCAGAUACCAGCUCGAAGCAAGACCAAGAAAUUCAGGCUCUGGCUUGGUAGACUUCUGAGGUAGAGUGCCGUAUGAACCAUACUUUUACUGUCUGAAAAUUGAUCUUUAACAUCUACAGGAUGGCUACUAGCUGCUCCCAUGUAAACCCUGCAGUACCCGAAAACAUCCAGAGACUUUAGAUAGCCCCCAAACCAGCCACAAUGGAUGGGAUUUUGCAGGGGCACCACCUCCAAACAUAGCGGGCCAGUCUGCCUUAUGGCCAACCCUUGUGUUCCAGUGGCCCAGCUUGGUGUGCCAUGUUCUCACCAAAGGACUAUCAGUGUCAUAAAACUGUGAAACUCUUUCUAGUUUCUCUCUUGACCUGCAUCUGACCUCAGCAGACUUCACCCAAGGUAGCAUUGGUUAGAAGAAAGCAAGUGGAGCCCAUGAUUCUAAAACUGUGACGACGGAAGGGUCAUUCAUCAAAGGUUUUGACUGAAGGAAGUGAAUUGGAAGCCAAGGGAAAAUUCCAAGAAAGAAAAGGACUUAACUGAAAAAAGGUCAUUAUAGACUCAAUCCCUUUCCUUUAUUUAUAAGUUUAAUAGAUUAGUUUGGAAUUUGUUGAAGAUACUUUUCAUCCAGAUUUCAGGGAGGUACAUAGCAUGGUAACCCUGUGAAGACAUUGGAGCAAUGGAUAGUUAUACAUCCAGGUAGAUCGGAAACCAGUUCAACAACUCUAGCCAAAGGCUAUUGAUAAAAGACAACUGACAUCUAGAAGGAGGUCAGAGCCACUAACUAGACGGUAGCUGUGCCUUGGAUGAAGCUUAUCUAAUUUGCAGCUGUCAUGAAGUUGAGUACAAUACUGAACAAGUCGACGACAGACUCCUCUGUACGGCAGCAUCACUUUGUCAUUAAGCACACAGACUCUGAGCUGAAUCUGCCCAGGAUCGGAUCCCAGCUCCAGCACUUACUAGCUAGUUAUGUUUCGCAAAUUACUUAGGCUGUGAGUAUUAGUUCCAACACUCAACUGAGCCUCUCCCUCAUUAAACCAACAAGAGAAUUUAAAGGGAUUGUAUAGGCCAGGUAAGGUGGCUCACACCUGUAAUCCCAAUACUUUAGGGGGCCAAGGUGGCAGAGUCGCGGGAGUCCAGGAGUUUGAUGCCAGCCUAGGAAACAUAGUGAGACCAUGUCUCUAGUAAAAAUAAAAAUAAAAUAAAAAUGUAAUUAGCUAGGCAUGAUGGCACACCCUUAUAGUCCCAGCUACUCAGGAGCCUGAGGGAGGAGGAUCAAGGAUGCAGUGAGCCGUGUUCAUGCCACUGCACUCCAGCAUGAGUGACAGAGCAAGACCACAUCUCUUAAAAAAAUAAGAAAGAGGGCUGGGCAUGGUGGUUCACACCUAUAAUCGCAACACUUUGGGAGGCUGAAGCGGGCAGAUCAUUUAAGGUCAGGAGUUCAAGACCAGCCUGGCCAACAUGAUGAAACCCUGUCUCUACUAAAAAUACAAAAAAAUUAGCUGGGUGUGGUGGCACAGCUACUGGGAAGGCUGAGGCAGGAGAAUCACUUGAACCCAGGAGACGGAGGUUGCAGUGAGCUGAGAUCCAACCACUGCACUCCAGCCUGAGCAACAGAGUGAGACUCUGUCUCAAAAAAAUGUAAAAAUAUAAAGAAAAGAAUAAAAAGGAUAGUAUCUGUAAAGUGCCUGGAACAGAGUUAGUGUUCAACAACUGUCAGCAGUGUUGUUAGCUGAGGCUGGUCACUGGGUGACUGUAAUAUCAGUCAGGGUCUCAGUGAUAACAGAAAAUACACUCAAAUUGGGAUAAUGUGAGGAUGGAUUGCUUUCUAAAGGGACUAUUUACAAAGGUGUGCUUGAGAUUUAAAGAAUCUGAAGAUAGUGCUAUAACCCAGGGUAGCAAUUGCAAAGCCAUUACCACUCCUAAGCCUAAGGGCCGAGGGGAGGAAGCAGUUGUUAAAACCCAGAGGGAGAGAGAAGCAUAGAAAGGAGGCCACCAAGGGAAACAGUGUCCUUUGGUUGAAGGACACAGGUGACCACCCUGGGAGGAAGUGAGCGGAGUAAACACCCCCACCCUCUCUCUGAUUCCAGCUGGAGCACCCAUUGGCCAAACCCAACAAGAAGCGCAAGAAUGGGUGAGCCUGGCCAUACAGGUCAGUUUCUGGGGCAGAAAGCGGGGUGGAAAAAGGUGACAGUGGGUCUGGAGGGACAGAAAGACACCUGGUACGAGCAUGUUACAUUUGUUGGGGACAAAGUUAAAAUCCUGCCUGUCAUUUCAAUGAAGCGACUACAACAAUAUUCAGGAUGGCAGAUAUUUAAGAGCAGCAUCUAGAAACAAUGAUUAAAAGGGUUCAGUCGGCUACAAGUCCAAUAUUCAGCCAU
rnacentral:lncRNA from 1 species